GGUGCGCAGGCGGGAAAGUAAGUCAGUGGUGAAAAACUGCCGCUCAACGGUAGUCGUGCCAUUGAUACUGCUUUUCUUGAGUUUGGAUGAGGUAGGCGGAAUGUGCAGUGUAGCGGUGAAAUGCAUAGAUAUUGCGCAGAACACCAAUUGCGAAGGCAGCUUACUAAUCCACGACUGACGCUGAGGCACGAAAGCGUGGGGAGCGAACAGGAUUAGAUACCCUGGUAGUCCACGCCGUAAACGAUGUUCACUCGCUGUUUGCGAUACACAGUAAGCGGCUUAGCGAAAGCAUUAAGUGAACCACCUGGGGAGUACGAUCGCAAGGUUGAAACUCAAAGGAAUUGACGGGGGCCCGCACAAGCGGAGGAACAUGUGGUUUAAUUCGAUGAUACGCGAGGAACCUUACCUGGGGCUUAAAUGUAGAGUGCAUGCGGUGGAAACACCCUUCCCUUCGGGGCUCUCUGCAAGGUGCUGCAUGGUUGUCGUCAGCUCGUGCCGUGAGGUGUCGGGUUAAGUCCGCAUAACGAGCGCAACCCUUUACCGUUAGUUGCCCAACAGGUUAAGCUGGGGGACUCUAGCGGGACUGCCACCGUAAGGUGAGAGGAAGGUGGGGAUGACGUCCAAAUCAGCACGGCCCCUUAUGUCCAGGGCUACACACGUGUUACAUGGGCCGGGACAGAGGGGCAGCUUCUCCCCGAGGGAGAUGCUAAUCCUUCAAAGCCGGUCUCAGUUUCGGAUUGGAAUGCUGCACCCCACCUCCUGAAGUUGGAUUUCCUAGUCUCGUAUAUCGGCAAUGGUACGGUGAAAUACUUCCCGGGCCUUG
rnacentral:rRNA from 1 species